CCUCCCUGGAAGUUACGUCAUUAGCUUGCGACAUGGCCGAGUGGAGUCAUGCGGGUGGAUCCCAGAUCGUUUCCCUGUAUGUUUAAAAAGGCAAAAAAGAAAAUUGCAAACCCUCAAAUAGAUCAGAAACGGACACGUUGGACGCCAUUUUCUGUUAACAUACACCUCAUCCUCACCAUCCGAAGAGUUACUCCCGGCAGGACUGGGAAAACCAGACGUGAACCAUUCUGAAUUAUGCACGCUUCUUAAAGCUGAAUUUCCCCAAAUGAGAUCACGUACUGGAGGUUGGCUGCUUUAGAAGGCCCCAAGUGCACUAUAAUGCCACUACCGGUUUAAUACUUGCAUGUGAAGUCCUGUGGUGGCAGACAAUCAGCUGAGGACUUCGGGAGAGGUGUUUUCAGUCAGUCUUGCUCAGGGUGGACCAGCCCCUGGUUUCUUGAGAUGGUGGUGCUUUGAUUUGCAAAACUCCAUAGGAAUGCAUUCUGGAAGAAGACGCUGAUCCCUCAGCAUGGACUGAUGCUAUAAUUAAUGGUGGUUUCACUGGGGCCAUUACACCGGAGAACAUAUGGGAAGAAAACAGUCCAACUGACUGUUCUCCAGUUACUCAAAAAAAAAUAAUUAUUAGACCAAACAGUGUUAUUUUAGCUAUCGGGGAAACGUCUACAGAUUUACAUUGACACAGUACAAAUAGAGUUUAUUGUGAGGAGUGGAUAUAACAACCUUUUAACUUGUAUUGUGGCCAUACACCAAUCUGCCAAGUAUUGUGUCGGUCCCCCUCGUGCCACCAGAACAGCAUUCAAUUGUACAGAGCGGUUAUCUGAGUUACCGUAGACUUUGUCAGCUUGUACCAGUCUGGCCAUUCUCUGUUGACCUCUCUCAUCAACACGGCAUUUCUAUCGACAGACUGUUGUGCAUGGAAAUCCCAGAAAUACUCACAUCAACCAUCAGAAUGGGGUAUAAAAAAGGUGAUCUCAGUGAUUUGGAGUGUGGCAUGAGUGUUUGUGCCAGAUGGGCUGGUUUGAGUAUUUCUGGGAUUUUCAUGCACAACAGCCUCUAGAAUUUACUCCGAAUGGUGCCAACUGCACCAUGUUAUGGCUGAUUGGUGUUUUAUACCAGAUUUUUUAUUAAAAAUGUAUGAUUAUUCCAGAGCUGUUGUGCUGCAUGCAACCCUGCAUCUGAUCCCAAGUGCACAUCUCGCAAGAACAUUCAGGACUUUGCCAACAUUUCUUUGUGUGCAGUGGACGAUAAGGUUGAUGCAGAGCAUUAUUCCCAAAUCAACUUCCUACAAGAUUUUCUUCAGGAAAUUGAAAGUGCUGGUAUGCAAGACAAGAUUUUAUGUAUCUGAUAUGGAACCUCACAGUUAGCAAGAGAAAUUAACAACUGUCAUACAAACUUUCUACAUGUCCACUUAGUUUUAGGUCAUUUAAUGUCAGCUAUAUUGUUCUCUUGCUUGUAGAGGAUGCCCCUAACUGUCCCCUGUAUAAUACAGUUUACAUUUCCUACAGCACACAUAAUUAUAAAUCAUUCAAAACAGUCAUGUUGCAAGCCAUCCAUUUGGACACUGGAGUUUAAAAUACAAGCAAUGCAUCCUACUGACUGUGCACAUGUUCUUCUCACUUUGUAUGAAUAAUAAAAAAAAAUGUAUUACAAAUAAAUGUCCUGCCUAUGGAGUGAUGAUUCAUUGUAAAGUGCCUGAUUAGACACUGUCAGUUAAGAAUGGAGCACAAAAGUUAGUACGGUUACAUAUUUGUUGUGAGAUUGGGCCACAUGUUCUUCAGUCAAAGGCCAUUCGACUGGACUGGCUGUGUCCCAGUCAG